rnacentral:rRNA from 1 species
GAUGAACGCUAGCGGCAGGCUUAACACAUGCAAGUCGAGGGGUAUAGUUCUUCGGAGCUAGAGACCGGCGCACGGGUGCGUAACGCGUAUGCAAUCUACCUUUUGCAGAGGGAUAGCACAGAGAAAUUUGGAUUAAUACCUCAUGGUAUGUGAGAAUGGCAUCAUUUUCACAUUAAAGUCACAACGGCAAAAGAUGAGCAUGCGUCCCAGUAGCUAGUUGGUAAGGUAACGGCUUACCAAGGCAACGAUGGGUAGGGGUCCGGAGAGGGAGAUCCCACACACGCGUACUGAGACACGGACCAGACUCCUACGGGAGGCAUCAGUGAGGAAUAUUGGACAAUGGGCGCAAGACUGAUCCAGCCAUGCCGCGUGCAGGAUGACGGUCCUAUGGAUUGUAAACUGCUUUUGUACAGGAAGAAACACUGGUUCGUGAACCAGCUUGGCGGUACUGUAAGAAUAAGGAUCGGCUAACUCCGUGCCAGCCGCCGCCGUAAAAC